GAGCCGCCGGCGCAAACCCGCACCGACUCUCCUCGCCUUUGCUCCUCCUCCCGGGCCGCCGCCGCCAACGGCCCGAGGCCUUGCGACCAGCGACCCGCAGCCCGCGCCGCGGCCGACAUGAGCUUCUUGUUUGGUAGCCGCUCCUCUAAAACAUUUAAACCAAAGAAGAACAUACCAGAGGGUUCUCACCAGUAUGAGCUCUUAAAGCAUGCAGAAGCCACACUUGGCAGUGGCAAUCUCCGGAUGGCUGUCAUGCUUCCUGAGGGAGAAGAUCUCAAUGAGUGGGUUGCAGUGAACACUGUGGAUUUUUUCAAUCAGAUCAACAUGCUUUAUGGAACAAUCACAGAUUUCUGUACAGAGGAAAGUUGUCCAGUGAUGUCAGCUGGCCCAAAAUAUGAGUAUCAUUGGGCAGAUGGAACAAACAUAAAGAAGCCUAUUAAGUGCUCCGCACCAAAAUAUAUUGAUUACUUGAUGACUUGGGUUCAGGACCAGUUGGAUGAUGAGACAUUAUUUCCUUCAAAAAUAGGUGUCCCAUUCCCUAAGAACUUCAUGUCUGUGGCAAAAACUAUACUCAAACGCCUCUUCAGGGUUUAUGCUCACAUUUAUCAUCAGCAUUUUGACCCUGUGAUCCAGCUUCAGGAGGAAGCACAUCUGAAUACAUCUUUUAAGCACUUUAUCUUUUUUGUCCAGUUCUCAGAUAACUAGAUUUACAGAUGAGAUUAAGAGGAGUGAAGAUAGUCCAACCCUUGCUAUAACAUUGGAGAACUAACAGCUAGGAGUGAAAAAUAGAUGGAAAAGAAGCUGACCAGCUUUUCAUUAGUGGAGAUUGAGAGGGGUUCAUGGAAUUCAACCUGGUUGAUAGAAGAGAACUUGCACCACUCCAAGAACUGAUUGAAAAACUCACCUCAAAGGACAGAUAAGGGAUGCAGAACUGUGCAAACUGUUCCUCUUGAAGUUGUGUGGAGUGUAUUUGGAUUUCAUUUUAUUUUAUUUUUGUCUAGGUGUGUCUUGGGUUUGGGGGGCUUAUUUGGGUUCUUUUUUCUUCUGAAUAAAAGAAACCAUAUUCUAUUGCUAUAGGAAGCCAACAACCAUACUCUGUACAUUUGAUAGGCGUAAAUUUUGUCUUAGUGGCAUUUUUUUUUUCAACUUGAUUACUUGUGGAAUUUUUUAUAAUGUUGUAGGUUGAAAAAGAAUGCUUAUUGAUUGGGCUGCUCAUGGAUGGGAUUCUACGUUGUGUAAAUUGUGGCUGAUUUUUUAAGUCCCCAAAAGACUUACAUUUUAAGUGCCUUGGCAGGCUCACUUCUGAGGUGCAAAGCACAUAGAACCAAACAGGGCUUGAAACAAUAUUAGGAUUAUUACCCAGAGCACUUACUGAUGCAUGUUUUAAAAUAUCUAUGAUAAAAGCCAUAGUUUACCUGAAUUGAUGAUCUCUAGCUUUUACUACAUCAAAGAAACACAAUUUGUAAAGGUGUGCAUGUAGAGCAUAAAAAUUAGUAUUUCUUAAUUAUUUUUCAUAUUGAUGGUAAUUCUGUUCAACAGAUGCUUAAAGGUCCACAAGCAGGUUUUUUUUCCAUCUCUUAUAUCUGUGAUAUUGAAACUUGAGGAUGUUGAAAUGCAAUAUCUAUUGCAUUUUGGCUUCUUUCUACAUGUUAACUGCAUUGUAGGUGUGACUUCAGGUUUAUGCACAGGUUUGCCAUCUUCAUGGGUGAUGCUGAACUGUGAGGUUUCUUAGCAAUUGCCAAAUGAGCCAUAAGUCUGCAGAAUCUCCUACUUUGAAGAAGCGGUGAUAGGAGUGUGUGUUCUGUUGUGGGGGAUUAGCUUGUAUAAGGAGUUAAAGAUGGAAUUAACUAUGGAGAGUCAAGUUCAAGAAGGUCCUGUCUUAAAAUCCUUGAAUAGAAUGGCAUGAAGAUUUUAAUCAAUUUCUUGUAAGCAGAGUCUCAGAGACUUCUUUUUAGGAAUCAACUUCCAUAGAGAAGUUAAAAGUAAAUUAUUAAUUUUAGGUAUAGAAAUUAAAUAAGGAAUAAAGAACUAUUUGGAAACAUUGACCACUUUCCAGCACUUCCAUUCAGUGAAUGGAGCUGGUGUUUGCCUGUCAUUUUAAAUGAUAACAGUACAUUCUUUGCUUAUUAUAGGCUCAAUUUGAAGCAUUCUGACAUCUGAUUUUACACUGUGAAAGGAAAUAUUUUACUUUGCAGUGAUAUUAAACAAUGAAACUGCUAAGUCAGAGAUUACUAACUUCUACAUUUUAGUUUCUUUGACUUAAUGAAUUAUUCCCAUAAGUUCUGAAAAUUGAUUUUUAAAAUAAAUAUUAACAUUUUUAAUUUUCACUUCAUUUUUAUUCUUGAGAUAUAUUCUUUUUAGACUUUGUUUUAAUUUUCUCAUUUCCAGUAAAUCUGUUCCUUCAGUUUGAAACAUAUACUUUUUUUUUUUUUUUUUUUUAGUUAGAAAUAUAUACCCUUUUCCUUGUAGAAUAGAAAUCUUGCUCUGAAAUUUUAUAAACUAAAAUUACUUAGAAUCUAAAAUGAAAUCAGUUAGGUUUUGCUCUUAACAAGUAGAGCAGUGUUACAGUUUAAUUACAUUAUAAUUAUGAUCACUAGGAACUGCCUUUUUCUCCAUUUCAAUUACAGCCAUCAUUUUCAAGUACCAACCAUAGAAAUAUCAGGAAAGCCUGGCAGAGAUAUAUUCGACAUACAUUGGUAAUGCUUAGUUAUAAAUUACAGUGAGAACUAGCUGAUAUUCUUAAAAUAAAUCUUUUAAUAUCCAGAUCUUUUAGCAGUCAUUAUGGGUAGAUUCAGAAGUAAGAUUUGGCAUCAACUGAUUUGGGGUUCUAUCUAUUUGGGAAAAUGAAGCACAUAAUUACUCACGUAGUCUUCCAUACUGCAUUUGUCUUCAUGUCAACCUAGUUACAAAGAGGUUGCAAUAGCCAAAUGUAGAGAGUAUAGUGAAAAAUUGUUCUUUCUCUUUUAAGCCUUAUACAGUAAUAUACUGUAAAUGGAAAAAUGUUUCCAUCAAUGAAUGUUUAGUAAUAGGAACUACUUUCCCACUGUAUGUAUAUAAGAGUUUGUCGUCACUGUGCCAGAAUCUCAGGUGCCUGCCUCUGAGUAUUCCUGUAGACAAGGAGUUAUGUAUGUGUAUAUAUGGUAACAACGUAGAGGGGUUCUCCCAGAGGCCUGGCUUUGUGCGUGGUGUUACAUGGCUAUGAGUAGGGAAACAUUCACGAGAGCAUGUGAAAAAUAACUAAUUUAAUAAAAAAUUGUUUGAUUCGGUUAGUCCCCAUGAACCCUUUAUAAAAUAAGGAUCACAUCUUGGCUUUGCAGCAGAACUUGUUUUAAAUGUCUAUUGAAUUCUUUCCAGAUCUCUUUAUUAAAUUUAUAAAUAACCAAGGUAAAGAUUUCCCCCCUGUUCUUUAUAUGGAAAGGUAGAACAGAAGUUGGUUUUCCGGUCUUCUGAUAAAAGUGUAAAAUAUAAAAUAGUAAAUUUACAUAGUAUUAUUUUCACAAUGCUUUGGUUAAAUAUUGAUAUCAAGCAAGUUUUAGGAAUUACUUUAAAUGAUGGAGUGCUGGCGUUGGAGAGAACUUAAUUACAAAGUGUGAAAAUCUUGUAGUUAGCAGUAGAUGGUGCUACUGGCUUUCAUUUUGCUUUCUUGAUUAUUCUGUUUCCCAUAAAAACCCAUUGUAUUAAACUGCACUGAAACAGUAAACAUUUUGUUAGUUAGCAGGUAGAAGCUUUGGAAGUCAGUUUACCUUAACUUGAAAGAUUUUAGAUUGCUAUUGCUUUUUACCUUUGUCAUCUGUAAAUUCUAAAUGAUCAGCAUAAAAUGUAUUUGAUAGGAGAUGACAUGUGUAUAACAUAUCACAGACUGAGUUACUGCCUGUUUUAUCAGCAGAGAUAAAGCACUACAAUCGCUUUUAUUCAGGAAGUACAGAUGAUGUGGAUAUUUAUAUUUUACAUGUAAUCAUCAGACUCCAUUUUAUGUAUUAGCAUUUUCCUUCCUUACAGGAAAAUAGCACAAUGACAGAUUUCUUUUAUAUCUUUGUCUACCCCUCUCUGAGAGAGGUUUUGAUAACCACUGAAAUGGUAAAAUAGGUGAGAUGCAAUUGCUAAGUUGUAGGACUUGCUUUUAAAAAAAUAUGUUGUUCCUUAAACAUCCAAAUGAGAGUUGAUCUUCAGGGUGGUUCCUUUUGGAGCACUACUUAUUCCAGCUAUGCUGCAAAGGCGUAAAGUUUUUGGAAUGCCCUAAAAGAAGCCUUGAGAAUCAGUGUAUGACUAUGCAAGAUAAUCUGUUUCAUUAUUUUAGUUGCACCAAAACCUCUUUUUUUUUUUGCAACUUAAUAUGACUAUUUCAUUCACCAAACCAACUCUGCUUCGCUGUUUUCUUAGAACUAAACCGUGAAGGAAGUUCAAAAGAAUGUACCACAGGUUCUGAAAUUUGCAGAAGAGAGUGUUUUGAACAUAGGUAGCAUCAUAUAAUAAAGGAAUCAUUUCCUGAUGUCACUACUUUGAAGUAUACAGUAUAAUUUGGAUAUAUAGGAUUUAUUUUUUUAAUUUAGUUUAAUUGUCUUAUAGUUAAGUCUUUAUCUUGUUUUCUAUUUUUUUCCUUUCCCUGAUAACUCUUGAAUUCAAUCUUGACUACUGUAAAAUAGUUUUGAUUUAAGGGAUAGUGAGAAAAACAUGGAUCCAAUAUUUAAGAUAGUAGUAGCCUAAGGAAACAAUAGCUUUUACCUCAGUUUCUUUUUUUUGAAAACCAUUUUCACUCAGAUGAACAACAUGAAUUUAGACUAGAGAUCAUCUUACAAAAAAAUUGGAAUAAAUUUUAUAUAUUAAUUAGGCUGACUUUUAAGCUUACAUAUUACAGAUAAAAUACUUAAAAUUGCAUAACCAUUUCAUAUAUCAUUUAUAAAUGUAAAAUUAUGAAUGUCUUUUUAACAGAUAUGGGACCUGAAGUCUAUUUCUAAUUUGAAAAUGAGUCUGCAUACCAAGAGAAAACUUUACUUAUUUAGAAACUUAUCUGGGAUGUUAAAGACUAUAUCAAUUCUUUGAAAUCCUAUUCUACAUCUACAUUUUAAGGAUCAUUUCUAAAAUAAUUUCAAUAUUAGAAUUUUGUCAUAAUGUUAAGAACAUUCAUCAUAGGAAUUACUGUUGUUCAGCUGCUAGUUUAAUGGUAUAUGAGAUAAAUGUUUAGAGGUAAAACUAUCUCAAGUUUAAAUGAAAAAUUUUAAUUUUAAGAUAUAACAAUUCUGAAUGCAGACAAUUUGAAUUUUUAGGGUUUUUCUAGUGAGCUAAUCAUAUGGAAGAAUUCAUUUUGAAGAUAUAAAACUGUGCUCCCUGUCUGCUACUUGUAGCUAAAUUGAUAUAGAAUUGUGACAAAAGAUAGUACAGUUAAAAGAUUGAGUAUUCAAUUUUGCUAGUGCAAAUUUCUUUUUCUACAUGUAAUACUACACGUAGAUAACUUCGGAUUACAGUUCUCCUAUACAGAUAGUGAAAUCACUGGCCUUUUGCAGUUGACAUCCCCCUCUCUUUGAAGGUAAAUUACUUCCUUUACUGCUAUUGACUUACCAUAUCUCCUAUCCCCCAAAACACACCACUUGGAAAACAAGUCUAUUGUUCAAGUCCUCAUUAGUGCUUCUGAGGUACUUGUUGUCAACAUGUAGGCUUCAGCUGAUGUGUUGAAAAAAUGCACUUACAUAGACAUUCUUGUAUUUUUGGCUGAUAGCUUUCUUUAAAUAUGUCACUGAAGCUGAGAUCAUUAGCGAUAAAAUUAAACAUUUUUGUUAAUAUUUAAUUUCUCAUAUAUUAUUAUUUUUAUGUGUGGGUGUUUCUUACUGGUUUGCACAUGUUUUCCUUUUUACUUUGUUUCUGAAAUAGUUAAUACUGUAUAGGUUGUAAAGUAGAUUACAUUUUCAUUUUAAGGAUACUUUUCUCAAAUUGUUCUGCUGAGAUAACUAUUUUUAGGGGAAAUAGUUUUUUAAAGCAACUAAAUUGUAUUUGUUAUUUUUGUACAUGCAUGACUAGGGUGCUGAGGGCACUAAUGUGGGAAGAUACUUAACUUUUGUCCUAGUUGAACUUUUCUUAUACAUUAUUACUUAAAAUUAUCUAGAAACAGUGUCAUAAAAUCUAGGUUGAGGGAGAAUACAGUGUACAUGAGACAGUUAAAGUCUGAAUAGAAAUUAUUUAUGGGCCAAAAGCAGGAUAAUACUGUCAGUGCCAUAUAAUGGAAGCAUAGGGGCAGCAUUCACAUUGCACAAGUAUUUCUGAGAAUGUGUAAAAACAGGGAUUCGGCUCUAUUGGAGAUAGACAGUUUCUCUAUUAUAGAGGCUGGAAGAGGAAAAAUGAUCUAAAAUAUGAAAUGUAAUAUCGACGCUAUGUUGUAAACUGUGCCAAGAUUACUCAAAUUGUAGUUAUUGUUGGUCAAAGUUUAACUGCUUUAUCAUUUUUAUUUUAAAAGAGGAUACUGAAUGUCAGAAAAUCCGUAAUAUGUUUUAGUUGAGAGAUGUAAAUAAUGUAUACAGACUUGUAUGUGAUGGGAUUGGAAGAAAUAUUUAAAUUCUAGGUUUUUUUAAAGGAAUGUUUAUUACACAAAUAAAUAAAUAGUUAUGUUUGGCCAUGAA